rnacentral:rRNA from 1 species
AUUGAACGCUGGCGGCAGGCCUAACACAUGCAAGUCGAGCGGAUGAAGAGAGCUUGCUCUCCGAUUUAGCGGCGGACGGGUGAGUAGUGCCUAGGAAUCUGCCUGGUAGUGGGGGAUAACGUUCCGAAAGGAACGCUAAUACCGCAUACGUCCUACGGGAGAAAGCAGGGGACCUUCGGGCCUUGCGCUAUCAGAUGAGCCUAGGUCGGAUUAGCUAGUUGGUGAGGUAAUGGCUCACCAAGGCGACGAUCCGUAACUGGUCUGAGAGUAUGAUCAGGCACACUGGAACUGAGACAGGGUGCAGACUCCGACGGGAGGCAGCAGGGGGGAAUAUUGGACAAGGGGCGAAAGCCUGAUCCAGCCAUGCCGCGUGUGUGAAGAAGGUCUUCGGAUUGUAAAGCACUUUAAGUUGGGAGGAAGGGCAGUAAGUUAAUACCUUGCUGUUUUGACGUUACCGACAGAAUAAGCACCGGCUAACUUCGUGCCAGCCGCCGCAGUAAGAC